rnacentral:misc_RNA from 1 species
AAGUCGUAACAAGGUUUCCGUAGGUGAACCUGCGGAAGGAUCAUUAUUGAAUAAACUUGGCGUAGUUGUAGCUGGCUCUCCGGAGUAUGUGCUCGCUCGUCACCUUUAUCUUUCCACCUGUGCACACACUGUAGUCCUGGAUACCUCUCGUCGCAAGGCGGAUGCAGGGAUUGCCGGUCCUCUCACGAGGUCGGCUCUCUCUGAAUUUCCAGGGCUAUGAACUUAUACACCCCAAACGAAAGUCAUAGAAUGUAAUCAUAAGGCUUCGUGCCUAUAAACCUAUACAACUUUCAGCAACGGAUCUCUUGGCUCUC